UUUUUCAAGGUUUGAUUACAUGGCCAAAAGUGAAAACAACACACGUGGGAAAAAAGCAUGGAGCAUAUGCCACAGAUGUGCCAAGGAGAGGAGGUUUCCCCGAAGCCAGUUCCUCCCGGAAGCCACAGGUGUUUCUGAGCAGACCCAGGAUCUAAGCCCUGUCCUGUUUCAAUAUCUGAAGAAAGCUAUGUACCAAGUUCCGUCCAAGAUGGAUAAUCCAAACCUGAGAUUCUCCAAACCAUGAUUACUUCACAGGACUUUUUUCUCUUCAGGCCCCUGAGCAAACCAGCAGGUGCACCACAAGAUAGAGAGAUGUACUUGGUACAGAGAAGAUCUGGGUUCCCUGACUGGUGCGUGUGUGAGGCUGCUUCCAGGAACUGCAGGAAUAGACCUUUCCCAACCGCAGGAAUAGACCUUUCCCAUAAGCAAGUUGUCCUGUUGAUCCCGAGUCCAAGAAUGGCCCUGUCUUCCCAGGUAGAAGGUUCCCUGUGGACUGCAUGGCAGGAGUUUUCACCCAGGGUUGAGGACAAGGAGCAUCCAUCCCGUGCCGGCACCUCAGCGUCAUCAAUAAGCAGCCGGCAGGUUGUCAGAAGAGACCUGCUGUGUGCUGUGUCAAUUUUUGAAAAGAAAAGAGUUAUUCUCAAUGCAUUUUGUGUCAAUCCAAUACUGCAUGAACUGUGCUCUUAG
rnacentral:lncRNA from 1 species